rnacentral:rRNA from 1 species
UUAUCGAGGGUGUGACGGAGAAGGAUAGUGUGUGCUAGCGAUUGGAAAUGCUAGUCUAAGCGUUUAGGGAGUUACGGUAGGCAAAUCCGCUGUAACAAUUCUGAGGCGUGAUGGGGAAGGCCAUAUAGGCCGAAGUACAUGAUUCCAUGCUUCCAAGAAAAGCAUCUAGAGAGAGAAGUAGUGCCCGUACCGCAAACCGACACAGGUAGAUGAGGAGAGAAUCCUAAGGCCGGCGGAAGAAUUGCAGUUAAGGAACUAGGCAAGUUGACCCCGUAAGUUCGCGAGAAGGGGUGCCUGCGAGAGCAGGCCGCAGAGAAUAGGCCCAAGCAACUGUUUAGCAAAAACACAGGUCUCUGCUAAAGCGCAAGCUGAUGUAUAGGGGCUGACGCCUGCCCGGUGCUGGAAGGUUAAGGGGAACACUUAGCGCAAGCGAAGGUGUGAACUUAAGCCCCAGUAAACGGCGGCCGUAACUAUAACGGUCCUAAGGUAGCGAAAUUCCUUGUCAGGUAAGUUCUGACCCGCACGAAUGGCGUAAUGACUUGGGCACUGUCUCAACUGCAAAUCCGGCGAAGUUGUAGUGCGAGUGAAGAUGCUCGCUACCCGCGAUUGGACGGAAAGACCCCGUAGAGCUUUACUGCAGCUUAGCAUUGAAUUCCGGUAUUGUCUGUACAGGAUAGGUGGGAGACUGGGAAACUAGGGCGUCAGCCUUAGUGGAGUCAACCUUGGGAUACCACCCUGACAGUACUGGGGUUCUAACAGGACGCCAUGAAUCUGGUGACUGGACAUUGCUAGGUGGGCAGUUUGACUGGGGCGGUCGCCUCCUAAAAAGUAACGGAGGCGCCCAAAGGUUCCCUCAGAACGGUCGGAAAUCGUUCGUAGAGUGCAAAGGCAGAAGGGAGCCUGACUGCGAGACCUACAAGUCGAGCAGGGACGAAAGUCGGGCUUAGUGAUCCGGUGGUACCUCGUGGGAGGGCCAUCGCUCAACGGAUAAAAGCUACCUCGGGGAUAACAGGCUGAUCUCCCCCAAGAGUCCACAUCGACGGGGAGGUUUGGCACCUCGAUGUCGGCUCGUCGCAUCCUGGGGCUGUAGUAGGUCCCAAGGGUUGGGCUGUUCGCCCAUUAAAGCGGCACGCGAGCUGGGUUCAGAACGUCGUGAGACAGUUCGGUCCCUAUCCGUCGCGGGCGUAGGAAAUUUGAGAGGAGCUGUCCUUAGUACGAGAGGACCGGGAUGGACUGACCUCUGGUGCACCAGUUGUUCCGCCAGGAGCACGGCUGGGUAGCUAAGUCGGGAAGGGAUAAACGCUGAAAGCAUCUAAGCGUGAAGCCUCCCUCAAGAUGAGAUUUCCCAUAGCAUAAGCUAGUAAGACCCCUUGAAGAACACAAGGUUGAUAGGUCAGAGGUGUAAGUGCGGUAGCGUAUGUAGCUGACUGAUACUAAUAGGUCGAGGGCUUGACCG